CCAAUAGCGUAUAUUAAAGUUGCUGCAGUUAAAAAGCUCGUAGUUGAAUUUUGGGACCAAUAUGUCGGUCGUGCCUUGGUACGUACUGGCAUCGUUGGUUUCUCCCUUCUGAUGAACCAUGAUGUCAUUCAUUUGGUGUCGUGGGGAAUCAGGACUGUUACUUUGAAAAAAUUAGAGUGUUUAAAGCAGGCUCACGCUUGAAUACAUUAGCAUGGAAUAAUGAAAUAGGACGUUUGAUUCUAUUUUGUUUGUUUCUAGGAUCCACGUAAUGAUGAAUAGGGAUAGUUGGUGGUAUUAGUAUGCAAUUGUCAGAGGUGAAAUGCUUGGAUUUAUUGAAGACUAACUACUGCGAAAGCAUUUGCCAAGGAUGUUUUUAUUAAUCAAGAACGAAAGUUAGGAGAGCGAAGACGUUCAGAUACCGUCGUAGUCUUAACCAUAAACUAUGCCGACUAGGGAUCGGAUGAUGUUAAUUUUUUAAUGACUCAUUCGGCGCCUUACG
rnacentral:rRNA from 1 species